GCAACUUGAAUGUGGGUUUUUUGAGGUUAAAAGUGUCUUAAUCUCUUUGAAUUGAAUGAGAGCCUGAGCUUGGGUGAAGGUCCUGGGCUACAAGACUGGGGUGGCACUGGGUGGCGAGCACCAACCCCAUGGAUGCCAUCUGUGUGCAGGCUGGAACGUUAGUCCUGAACGUGAGGGAAUUCUACUGAAACUUCCUUGGGAUACCUUGUAGAAGAAGAGAAUGAGCUCUUGUUCCUGUCAAGGCUGGCCCAGACCUAUCAAGGGGGUCAUUUCACCGGGCAGCCGAGAAAGCUGGUGAGAAAAUGUUUGCUGACUGCUGCUCUAGGACAUUCGUCAACACAGAUGACCGGGGCUCCCACCAGCGUUCCUGCAAGCCAGCGAAGAAUUCUGUCGGACAGCAAAGGAGUCCAGCUUAAAAAAAGAGAGAGAGAGAACACCAUGUUUCCCAAUCUUCCUUGCAGAUGGGGAGGCCAUUAAAAAAGAAAGAUGGGCUUCCCCGAAACACCCGGAUGAAGUAAGAUGCUUUAAGAAGAUUGUGUUCUUUGGAAGAUACAGGAAAUAUUCAAUGCCAUAAAAAAAUAGCAUGACGAUGUUUCUAUGGCAGAGAUGGAACCAAGGAUUGAUGACACCACAAACAUUUUAAUCCUCUGUAUGCUAAUGAGUUACUCAAAUUAGAGAAAAAUUUCCUUCUGUCUUAUGAUAGCUUUAAAACACAAAA